rnacentral:rRNA from 1 species
GUCUACGGCCAUGCCACCCUGAACAAGCCCGAUCCAGUCUGAUCUCAGAAGCUAAGCAGGGUUGGGCCUCGUUAGUACUUGGAUAGGAGACCACCUAAGAAGACAGGUGCUGUAGGCA